AAGGUACUAGUAAAACGAUAUUACACUGCAUUGUCAAGGCAGAAUUGUGGACCACAACUCCGCGUACCUUA
rnacentral:tRNA from 1 species